ACUGCGAGGGGGGGACGGAGAAGGCUAUGUUAGCCGGGCGACGGUUGUCCCGGUUUAAGCAUGUAGGCGGAGAUUCCAGGUAAAUCCGGAGUCUUGUUAACGCUGAGGUGUGAUGACGAGGCACUACGGUGCUGAAGUAACAAAUGCCCUGCUUCCAGGAAAAGCCUCUAAGCAUCAGGUAACACGAAAUCGUACCCCAAACCGACACAGGUGGUCAGGUAGAGAAUACCAAGGCGCUUGAGAGAACUCGGGUGAAGGAACUAGGCAAAAUGGUGCCGUAACUUCGGGAGAAGGCACGCUGAUAUGUAGGUGAAGUGAUUUACUCAUGGAGCUGAAAUCAGUCGAAGAUACCAGCUGGCUGCAACUGUUUAUUAAAAACACAGCACUGUGCAAACACGAAAGUGGACGUAUACGGUGUGACGCCUGCCCGGUGCCGGAAGGUUAAUUGAUGGGGUUAUCCGUAAGGAGAAGCUCUUGAUCGAAGCCCCGGUAAACGGCGGCCGUAACUAUAACGGUCCUAAGGUAGCGAAAUUCCUUGUCGGGUAAGUUCCGACCUGCACGAAUGGCGUAAUGAUGGCCAGGCUGUCUCCACCCGAGACUCAGUGAAAUUGAACUCGCUGUGAAGAUGCAGUGUACCCGCGGCAAGACGGAAAGACCCCGUGAACCUUUACUAUAGCUUGACACUGAACACUGGUCCUUGAUGUGUAGGAUAGGUGGGAGGCUUUGAAGUGUGGACGCCAGUCUGCAUGGAGCCAACCUUGAAAUACCACCCUUUAAUGGCUGGUGUUCUAACGUAGACCCGUAAUCCGGGUUGCGGACAGUGUCUGGUGGGUAGUUUGACUGGGGCGGUCUCCUCCUAAAGAGUAACGGAGGAGCACGAAGGUUAGCUAAUCCUGGUCGGACAUCAGGAGGUUAGUGCAAAGGCAUAAGCUAGCUUGACUGCGAGAGUGACGGCUCGAGCAGGUGCGAAAGCAGGUCUUAGUGAUCCGGUGGUUCUGAAUGGAAGGGCCAUCGCUCAACGGAUAAAAGGUACUCCGGGGAUAACAGGCUGAUACCGCCCAAGAGUUCAUAUCGACGGCGGUGUUUGGCACCUCGAUGUCGGCUCAUCACAUCCUGGGGCUGAAGUAGGUCCCAAGGGUAUGGCUGUUCGCCAUUUAAAGUGGUACGCGAGCUGGGUUUAGAACGUCGUGAGACAGUUCGGUCCCUAUCUGCCGUGGGCGCUGGAGAAUUGAGGGGGGCUGCUCCUAGUACGAGAGGACCGGAGUGGACGCAUCACUGGUGUUCGGGUUGUCAUGCCAAUGGCAUUGCCCGGUAGCUAAAUGCGGAAGAGAUAAGUGCUGAAAGCAUCUAAGCACGAAACUUGCCCCGAGAUGAGUUCUCCCUGACCCCUUAAGGGUCCUGAAGGAACGUUGAAGACGACGACGUUGAUAGGUCGGGUGUGUAAGCGUAGCGAUACGUUGAGCUAACCGAUACUAAUGAACCGUGAGGCUUAACCUU
rnacentral:rRNA from 1 species